rnacentral:lncRNA from 1 species
UUGUUUUAUCUUACUCUACUAGACUAUUAGCUAUUUUGGGGCAGGGUAAUUAGAUUUUUUAAAUCAUGCAUGUAACCAUAACGCCUAUAAAGACACUUUACACUUGGUAAGUAAAUAAUAAAUAUUUGUAGCAUGUUUGAAUGAUAUUUGGAUUCAAAUGAAAGAUGUGGAUUUUUGUCAGUACACCGUGUUGUUAUGGUGAGCAGAAUGUUGUGGUUUAUAUUGGUCAGGUUUUAAUACUGGUCAUGUUCUGAUUUAUACAGGGUUUAAACAAUUGCAAAUCUAAAACCCAGGAUUCCAUCUAAUGAAGAUACAUUUACUCAUCUUCCCUUUUGAUGAUCAUUUCUUAAAGAGCCCAACACACUGCCAGCAUACAAAUACAAUGUUAUGCAACAUUGAGAGAUUCAGUCCUCACAAAAUCAAAGUGUGGACUUAUUUUUUCAUUACUGCAAAUUUUGAAAGAUAUAGGAAUCAUCCUUUCCUAUUCUUCAAUUACAAACAUUCAUUUUGAGGAGAAACAUCUCAAAUGCGCAUGACGAUAUUUUAAUAAAGACUGAACCUUGAACUUGAUCUUUUAUGUUUAAAAUCAAAGAAAUCCUUGAUGCCAAAUUUUUAUAUAUUCAUUCUCCCUAACCAUGACACUUUCCUUCUUCAGAUUUUUCUCAGCCUGUGAAUAUUUCUCUACCUUUCUUCUCUGUGAAACAUGCAAAAGCCAUUUGUUUGUUACUUCUUUCCUCUGAGCAGAGCUAAUGGUAAACCUGUGCUUUUAAUACAAAAGUUCAGGUUUAAGAAUUCUACUACAAAUCGUAGAAGUCCUUUAUAUAAAAUGAGAAAAAUCAAGGUCCACUCUUGAUAGUUAUGGAAUUAGAUGAGAUGUUCUGAAAGAACUUCUCUUUUUCAUUCCAUAUGCCUUGUAGCCCUAGUGCACAAACUGAUAUUCCUCAAGUGAGUUGCAGUGUUAGUUAUUCUUAAAUAAUUUAUUUAAUUUCCAUUAACAGUAGAAAAUUUAAUUGUUGAAACGCAAAUGAAAUAAAGCUUGAUCUUGAAGAGGUUAAAGUAAAUUUGUAGGAGUUCCUAUUGUGGUUCAGUGGAAACAAAUCCAACUACUAGCCAUGAGAUGGCAGAUUAGAUCCCUAGCCUUGCUCAGUGGGUUAAGGAUCCAGCAUUGCUGUGAGCUAUGGUGUAGGUCACAGAUGUGGCUCAGAUCCUGCAUUGCUGUGGCUAUGGUGUAGGUGAGCAGCUACAGCUCCGAUUGGACCCCUAGCAUGAGAACCUCCAUAUGCUGUGGGCAUGGUCCUAAAAAGCAAAAAAAUAUAUAAAUAAAUUUAAAAAAACAUUAAUUUAUAGGACUGGAAUAUAAUAUCAAGAAAUGAAUAAAAACAUUUAUGAAUAACAAGUCAAUAAACUCAAGACAUACUCUACUCAUUGAACACACAAGUCUUUAGAAAAAAAUGUGCGAAAUGGCUAAUGAUGGAGGUUGUUUCUCAGGCAAUUCCCACAAGUAGAUUUACAGGUUACAACAAAUCAAGAUCAGCUUCAUUUCAUAUUAACCAGUACCAUGUGAAUAAGUGAUAUCAUUUGUCACAACGUUCGUGUUAUAAAGUGGAUGAAUAAAACCAGGAAAAUGACAACAACUAGGUUUUAAGAGUUGUUUUCCCAUGGUACAUCUGCAUUUUUCCACUCUGAAGGAGGAAAGGGAGAGUGGGUGAACACAAAACAGUAUUAACAUUAAAAAUAAGUGGUGGCAGGAUUUGGACAGAUGAAUUAAGGAAGAAAUUUUCCCAGAAUCAGAAAAUUUAUGUUUUAUAUCUGAGGCAAGAGAAAACUAGGAAUUGUGGUAAAUCAUCCUAUAACAUAUAGCAUCAAAGGGGAGGAUGAGUAAUGUCAAGGCUUGAAGUAUAAUUUCAACAGGAAAAUGUGUUUAUUCCAGUACAGGAAAUCCCAGAUCCUGGAUUUAACACAGGACUGAGAAUAAAUACAGUAGCUUAUGAUAGAUCCUAUUUCAAAAUUCAUGAGAAAUAAGAGACUAGUUAUAAAAAUUAUUUACAUACUUAGCUAGCUGCUCUUGCCAUUUAAAGAUCCUGUAAGUCAAAUUGCUACCACCCUUUUCUUCAAUUUUAAACAUAAGGCCAAGACUAGGAAUAUUUACAAAGCUAACAUAAAAUCAAGAACAGGAGAAGACUUCAAAAAUUUAUCCUCAUGUUAUCCUGGUAUGAUAACGACAUGUUUAGUGAAAGGAAGAUAAAUUCAAAUUUAUGAGAAAUGAAAACAUAAAAAUAAUAGAAGACUGUGUGUAAAAAACAGUAUUUGAUUUCUUCUCUAUGUUGUAUAAAAGUCCCAUACAUUUCUCAGUAGACAUAAGUAAAAUCUUAUUAAGCAUCAAUUAUUAAUAAACAUAACCCUAGUAUAAGUUCAGAAAUGAGUACAAAUUAUUUUCCACCUUCUUUUCCUACCACUGGAUAAAAACACAUCCUUUUCAUAACUAUUUUAUUCAAGGUGAGUGUAACAGUGGGUCUGCACUGUUACUGUGAUCAGAGAAUUUAAUCAAACUGUAAGAAAAAAAAAAGCAACAAUUUUGUUUUUCCUUUUGGAAGUUAAAUUCCAUGUGGGGAAAUAGCUGCAUUUUCUCUUUCUACCACCCAAAUCUGAAGUUCAGUUUUAACCUAAUUUAUUGAUUCUACUUUAUGGUUUCAACCCUUGAUGAAGCACCUCUCAGGGGCUUUGGACCUGGAAACAAAAACAAUAUCAAAGCUACAAGUUGGAACUAAUGCAAAUAUAAAAAAUAAGGAAAAUCAAAAGCGAUCAUUAUCAAAAGGCACCAGGCAGAGGACGUUUAGCCUGUGUACUUGUUUCUUCCAGAGAGAACUUAGAGUGCUCUUUGUUCUAGUUGUAAAAGCACACUUUUUCUCAAUAGUGUUGUUUGCUAUGUUGAUCCAAUAUGGCUGACAAAAAAAAAAAAAAAAAAAAAAAA